rnacentral:rRNA from 1 species
GGUUGUCGUCAGCUCGUGUCGUGAGAUGUGGGUUAAGUCCCGCAACGAGCGCAACCCCUACGUUAGUUGCUAACGCGUGAAGGCGAGCACUCUAGACGAACUGCCGUUGACAAAACGGAGGAAGGUGGGGAUGACGUCAAAUCAUCAUGCCCCUUAUGUUCUGGGCUACACACGUGCUACAAUGGCCGGUACAGACGGACGCAAAGCCGCGAGGUGGAGCAAAUCCUAAAAAGCCGGUCUCAGUUCGGAUUGCAGGCUGCAAUUCGCCUGCAUGAAGUCGGAAUCGCUAGUAAUCGCAGGUCAGCAUACUGCGGUGAAUACGUUCCCGGGCCUU